GAAGCUGGUGGGAGUGCUUCUCUUUCAGCCCCUGCGGAUAUCCCUGGCCAUCCACCUGUGGCUGGACAGUCCCUGUGCCUGCUGUGUGGGGUCACUGUAAUUCCUUAGAGUCUUGGAGAUCUGACAAACUGCCCAUAAAACGUGCUGCCCCACCCAUUGCCUUUCUUCGGUAAAGGUUAAAGGAACAGGGGGGGCCUCAUACCUUCUACCAGCAUCCAUGGAACUAUGGCAGGUUAACUUGUGAAAUUGAAUGUAGGUUAAAUCUCAGACUCUUCACAGUGAUCGACAGAUAUUGUUCUUAAAUCUCCUGCAGUGAAGCUGUAAGUACCACUUUACCUCUCUCUCCG
rnacentral:lncRNA from 1 species